CGGUGCUGGGGAAGGCGGCGGGGCUGGGGGUGGCCUGAGGGGCGGGUGGGAAAUGCUGGAGCGCGGAUCCCCGCGGGCUCACGGGGAGGCGGAGGGCAGAAACGGGGGCCUUUGGAGCCGGCUUGGGCCAGAGUGGAAGCUCUGUCCCUCCGAGCUCGGGACUUGUCGCUUUUGGGUGCAAAGCGAGUGGCCCACAGAACUCCCGCUCUUGAGGAGGCCCGAGUUUGGGAGGGGAGAAAUUUGGAGAAACCGAAUCUCAGCUCUGUGAAGGCAGUGGGUUUUGUCCUCUUGCUGUAUUCCCAGUGCCUGAAAUGUGGCUGGCAGGAAACUGUCAUCUUGGCCACAUGUGUACAUGUGUGCACGCUGGCCUAGAUGUGCAUCUGUGAGCAUACAUGCACUGGAUCUUGAUGCAAAGGUCAGUACAGAUCACUGGCUUACCCUUCCUUCCUCCACUGCCUCAGUGACCUUCCCUGGCCCAACCCCACAUCCCCUUAUGGCAGGAUUCUGGCAUUUGUCCUCUGUUCCUGCUCUGGCCUGGAGGGACCAGCCAGGACUUGCACUGUUGGCUUCAUCUCAGGCAGAUUCCUGACUGGCUCUUGUCGCCUUGGAUCCUGACCCCAGAAUGACUCCUAUCGACGUCUUCUCCUCCCUCAACUAAGACCCAGUGCAGCCAAAUAAAUAAAUAAAUCUUUUUAAAAAAGU
rnacentral:lncRNA from 1 species